rnacentral:sRNA from 1 species
GAUCUGCAUGGUGUUGUGGGCAGACCGC